GACGAACGCUGGCGGCGUGCUUAACACAUGCAAGUCGAACGGAAAGGCCCUGCUUUUGUGGGGUGCUCGAGGGGCGAACGGGUGAGUAACACGUGAGUAACCUGCCCUUGACUUUGGGAUAACUUCAGGAAACUGGGGCUAAUACCGGAUAGGAGCUCCUGCUGCAUGGUGGGGGUUGGAAAGUUUCGGCGGUUGGGGAUGGACUCGCGGCGUAUCAGCUUGUUGGUGGGGUAGUGGCUUACCAAGGCUUUGACGGGUAGCCGGCCUGAGAGGGUGACCGGCCACAUUGGGACUGAGAUACGGCCCAGACUCCUACGGGAGGCAGCAGUGGGGAAUAUUGCACUAUGGGCGGAAGCCUGAUGCAGCAACGCAGCGUGCGGGAUGACGGCCUUCGGGUUGUAAACCGCUUUCGCCUGUGACGAAGCGUGAGUGACGGUAAUGGGUAAAGAAGCACCGGCUAACUACGUG
rnacentral:rRNA from 1 species